UACGGGGGGGGCAAGCGUUGUUCGGAAUUACUGGGCGUAAAGAGCUCGUAGGUGGUUUGUCGCGUUGUUCGUGAAAACUCACGGCUUAACUGUGAGCGUGCGGGCGAUACGGGCAGACUGGAGUACUGCAGGGGAGACUGGAAUUCCUGGUGUAGCGGUGGAAUGCGCAGAUAUCAGGAGGAACACCGGUGGCGAAGGCGGGUCUCUGGGCAGUAACUGACGCUGGAGGAGCGAAAGCGUGGGGAGCAAACAGG
rnacentral:rRNA from 1 species